rnacentral:rRNA from 1 species
UGGUACCUACGGGGCGCAGCAGUGGGGAAUAUUGCACAAUGGGCGAAAGCCUGAUGCAGCAACGCCGCGUGAAGGAAGACGGUUUUCGGAUUGUAAACUUCUGUUCUUAGUGAAGAAUAAUGACGGUAACUAAGGAGCCAGCCACGGCUAACUACGUGCCAGCAGCCGCGGUAAUACGUAGGUGGCAAGCGUUGUCCGGAAUUACUGGGUGUAAAGGGAGCGUAGGCGGGAAGCCAAGUCAGCUGUGAAAACUACGGGCUUAACCUGUAGACCGCAGUUGAACCUGGCUUUCUUG